GGGGGUGUAGCUCAGUGGUAAAGCACACGCUUAUCGUGCAUGAGAUCCUGGGUUCCAUCACCAGUACCUCCA
rfam:Camelus ferus unplaced genomic scaffold scaffold334, whole genome shotgun sequence.